GACGAACGCUGGCGGCGUGCUUAACACAUGCAAGUCGAACGGUGACGCUCCAGCUUGCUGGUGUGGAUCAGUGGCGAACGCGUGAGUAACACGUGAGCAACCUGCGCUUGACUCUGGAAUAAGCGCUGGAAACGGCGUCUAAUACUGGAUACGAGAAGGGCCCGCAUGGGCACCUUCUGGAAUGUUUUUCGGUUGGGGAUGGGUUCGCGGCCUAUCAGCUUGUUGGUGAGGUAAUGGCCAACCAAGGCGCCGACGGGUAGCCGGCCUGAGAGGGCGACCGGCCACACUGGGACUGAGACACGGCCCAGACUCCUACGGGGGGCAACGGUGGGGAAUAUUACACAAUGAGCGAAAGCCUGAUGCAGAGACGCCGCGUGAGGGAUGACGGCCUUCGGGUUGUGAACCUCUUUCAGCAAGGAAGAAGCGAUAGUGACGGUACCUGCAGAAGAAGCACCGGCUAACUACGUG
rnacentral:rRNA from 1 species